GUGCUCAUGUUGGCAGCACACAUACUAAAGUUGGAACAGUACAGAGAAGAUUAGCACGGCUCCUGUGCUAACAUGUAAAUUCAUGAAGCAUUCCAUAUUUAA